UCAAAACUCAAGAGAAUUACCUAAUUCUAGUCAAGAACAAGAUUAACACAAUCUAAUCAACAGAAAAUUAACAAGAUAGAAAUAAAUUAAUUAAACUUAAACCUGAGUUAAUGGAGAUUAAUGAAUGAUCAUGGGCCAAAAUGAACUAAUUAAAGGGGGUGUAGCACUGAAUGCUUCUUGGGCCAUAGGCCCACUCCCCUUUCGCCUGGAUCCGUCACACCAAGACCACCCGGAAGCUCCAUCAGCCAAAGGGAUUCAACGCUCCAAGAAUGAAUCUAAAGGAACCACCCGAAAACAUGAAAGAGAGAAACACUGAUACUGAACACAAAAACUCUCACCGUCGACGCCGCCGGUGAAUCUCCUCCGAUGGCUGCAAGAAUCGUCUCAUCCUUAAUCUCACUUAUAUCGUCGUCGUUGCUCCGUUGAGAAUAAACUCGGAGAUUCGUGUGUUUGUGAUGAAGAAAUAGAAAUGAUCGGAUUCGUAGCGAUUAUCGGACUCGGAGAUUCGCGCUUAGAGAUGAAGAUAAAGGUGCCCCGACCCUUUCCUCCGGGAAGGGCGUGAACGGAGUUGAGGAAGAGAGUUCCCAAAUGUUAGUUACAGGUUCUGUUAAGGUGGUUAGAGAAAAAUGGGGCAAUUUUUCAGAGGGGAAUUGGAGGUGAUGAAGGGUGAGGUUAAGGGUGUUGAAAGGUUGAGGGUGAGGUUCGGUUGUUGAAAGUUUGAGGGUGAAGAGGGUGAAGAAGAGGGUUGGUUCUUUGAUUCUUUUCUUCUGCUAAUCCUUAUUACCUGCAGGUUUUUUCCUGCAGAAGAUUGGGGGUUUAUGGAGGGUGGAGUUCGGUUAGAAGUUUGUGGAGGUUAUUUCAGUUAAAGGGUUUUGGAUAUGGUGAGAAGGGUUGUUGAAUGAUGCUGAAGAGGGUUUGGUUAGAAAAAAGAAGGGUUAUAACAGAAGGUUGAAGAUGGUUAGUAUCGGUUGAAGGUUAGGGGUAACUUGGUUGAAGAAGAUUGAAAAAAUGACAGAGGGUGAUGUUAUAUAUUCUGUAGGAGGUGGUGUUUUCAGUUCCCAAAUUCGGUUAUUUCUGUUUGAGAUUCAGUUGGUUUUUUCGGUUAUUUGGUUUUGGAGUUUUUCAGUUGUGUCCCAUAUUUGUGCUUAUGUUCUGUUUUCCUGUUUGAAGCCUUUUUGUAGUCUUUUCUGUUAUGCUAAUGGUGAUGCUUGCAAUGAAUGAUUUUCAUUGAGUUUUUUGAUGGUUUCUGAAAAUCUAUUGAGAUGUGAAUCCCUUUUUUGCUGGUUAUGAUUUAUGUCAUGGAAUUGCUUGGAUACCAUGGCGCAAGAGACUUAGGAUGAAGUUGUUUUGGAUUGGCUUACCUGGAAUGCACCGCUAUCGGAACCAUGGGCCAUGAAGCAUAUGACUUUGGAUAUGAAAUUGAAUUGUAAUUUUGUUGUAAUGGGAAUGUUUGAAAUUGUAAUAUUUGGAUUUAUAAUAGAAUGGAUGUAUGGUUGAAUAUUGUAAAAAAAUGAAUUAGUUUAUAUUUUGGGAUGUAAAUGAAAUGAUUUAUACAACAAAAUUGAAAUUCAGAUAA